UACGUAGGGUGCGAGCGUUAAUCGGAAUUACUGGGCGUAAAGUGCGCGCAGGCGGCCGCGCAAGUCGAGUGUGAAAGCCCCGAGCUUAACUUGGGAAUUGCGCUCGAAACUACGUGGCUGGAGUGUGGCAGAGGAAGGUGGAAUUCCACGUGUAGCGGUGAAAUGCGUAGAGAUGUGGAGGAACACCGAUGGCGAAGGCAGCCUUCUGGGCCAACACUGACGCUCAUGCACGAAAGCGUGGGGAGCAAACAGG
rnacentral:rRNA from 1 species